rnacentral:rRNA from 1 species
GAUGAACGCUGGCGGCGUGCCUAAUACAUGCGAGUCGAGCGAACAGACGAGGAGCUUGCUCCUCUGACGUUAGCGGCGGACGGGUGAGUAACACGUGGAUAACCUACCUAUAAGACUGGGAUAACUUCGGGAAACCGGAGCUAAUACCGGAUAAUAUAUUGAACCGCAUGGUUCAAUAGUGAAAGACGGUUUUGCUUUCACUUAUAGAUGGAUCCGCGCCGCAUUAGCUAGUUGGUAAGGUAACGGCUUACCAAGGCAACGAUGCGUAGCCGACCUGAGAGGGUGAUCGGCCACACUGGAACUGAGACACGGUCCAGACUCCUACGGGAGGCAGCAGUAGGGAAUCUUCCGCAAUGGGCGAAAGCCUGACGGAGCAACGCCGCGUGAGUGAUGAAGGUCUUCGGAUCGUAAAACUCUGUUAUUAGGGAAGAACAAAUGUGUAAGUAACUAUGCACGUCUUGACGGUACCUAAUCAGAAAGCCACGGCUAACUACGUG